rnacentral:rRNA from 1 species
GACGAACGCUGGCGGCGUGCUUAACACAUGCAAGUCGAACGGAAAGGCCUGCUUUCCCUUGUGGAUUGCGGGUGCUCGAGUGGCGAACGGGUGAGUAACACGUGAGUGAUCUGCCCCCAACUUGGGUAUAAGCCUGGGAAACUGGGUCUAAUUCCCGAUAGGACUGCAGGGUGGUGCCUGUGGUGGAAAACGAUUUUCUAGUGGUUGGGGAUGAGCUCGCGGCCUAUCAGCUUGUUGGUGGGGUAAUGGCCUACCAAGGCGGCGACGGGUAGCCGGCCUGAGAGGGUGGACGGCAACAUUGGGACUGAGAUACGGCCCAGACUCCUACGGGAGGCAGCAGUGGGGAAUAUUGCACAAUGGGCGGAAGCCUGAUGCAGCGACGCCGCGUGGGGGAUGACGGCCUUCGGGUUGUAAACUCCUUUCGACCGCGAGGAAGCCGCCUGGUUGGAAGGGUGGUGACGGUAGUGGUAGAAGAAGCACCGGCUAACUACGUG